GAUGAACGCUAGCGGCAGGCCUAACACAUGCAAGUCGAGGGGUAGUUACUUCGGGUAAUGAGACCGGCGCACGGGUGCGUAACGCGUAUGCAAUCUACCUUUUACAGGGGAAUAGCCCAGAGAAAUUUGGAUUAAUGCCCCAUAGUAUGUAUGAAUCGCAUGGUUUAUACAUUAAAGUUCCAACGGUAAAAGAUGAGCAUGCGUCCCAUUAGUUAGUUGGUAAGGUAACGGCUUACCAAGACGAUGAUGGGUAGGGGUCCUGAGAGGGAGAUCCCCCACACUGGUACUGAGACACGGACCAGACUCCUACGGGAGGCAGCAGUGAGGAAUAUUGGACAAUGGGCGCAAGCCUGAUCCAGCCAUGCCGCGUGCAGGAAGAAGCAUCUAUGGUGUGUAAACUGCUUUUGUACAGGAAGAAACACUCCCUCGUGAGGGAGCUUGACGGUACUGUAAGAAUAAGGAUCGGCUAACUCCGUG
rnacentral:rRNA from 1 species